rnacentral:rRNA from 1 species
UACGAAGGGGGCUAGCGUUGUUCGGAAUUACUGGGCGUAAAGGGCGCGUAGGCGGCGUGUCAAGUCAGGCGUGAAAGCCCCGGGCUCAACCUGGGAACCGCGCUUGAGACUGGCAUGCUCGAGUUCGGGAGAGGAUGGUGGAAUUCCCAGUGCAGAGGUGAAAUUCGUAGAUAUUGGGAAGAACACCGAUGGCGAAGGCAGCCAUCUGGACCGACACUGACGCUGAGGCGCGAAAGCGUGGGGAGCAAACAGG